UACAGAGGGUGCGAGCGUUGUCCGGAAUCACUGGGCGUAAAGGGCGCGUAGGUGGCCCGAUAAGUCGGGGGUGAAACGCUGCGGCUCAACCGCAGCACUGCCUUCGAGACUGUCAGGCUUGAGCACGGUAGAGGCUGGUGGAAUUCCCGGUGUAGCGGUGGAAUGCGUAGAGAUCGGGAGGAACACCUGAGGCGAAGGCGGGCUACUGGGCCGAUACUGACGCUGAGGCGCGAAAGCCAGGGGAGCAAACGGG
rnacentral:rRNA from 1 species